rnacentral:rRNA from 1 species
ACGCUCGACACCUACGGAGGCAGCAGUUGGGAAUAUUGGACAAUGGAGGAAACUCUGAUCCAGUGACGCCGCGUGAAGGAAGAAGGUCUUCGGAUUGUAAACUUAUUUUGUCAGGGAAGAAAAAUGACUGUACCUGAAGAAAAAGCACCGGCUAACUACGUGCCCGCAGCCGCGGUAAUCUGAGCGGGCUGGCAAGGC